AUUGAACGCUGGCGGCAUGCUUUACACAUGCCAGUCGAACGGCAGCGCGGGCUUCGGCCUGGCGGCGAGUGGCGAACGGGUGAGUAAUACAUCGGAACGUGCCCAGUAGUGGGGGAUAGCUCGGCGAAAGCCGGAUUAAUACCGCAUACGACCUGAGGGUGAAAGCGGGGGAUCUUCGGACCUCGCGCUAUUGGAGGGGCCGAUGGCAGAUUAGCUAGUUGGUGGGGUAAAGGCCUACCAAGGCGACGAUCUGUAGCUGGUCUGAGAGGACGACCAGCCACACUGGGACUGAGACACGGCCCAGACUCCUACGGGAGGCAGCAGUGGGGAAUUUUGGACAAUGGGCGAAAGCCUGAUCCAGCAAUGCCGCGUGUGUGAUGAAGGCCUUCGGGUUGUAAAGCACUUUUGGCGGGAACGAAAAGGACUGUGCCAAUACCACGGUUCGAUGACGGUACCCGCAGAAUAAGCACCGGCUAACUACGUG
rnacentral:rRNA from 1 species